GUCAUUGUAAUCUCACUACGAUCGACUUUUGUCUUUUCGUAUGUGGACUUGGAUGUUGCCGUGAAUAAACAAACGGCUCGUCUGAAAUGCCUGAGUGUACCCCGCUUUGCGGCGUAUUCGGUGUGAUAAAUCUUCACCGGAGUUGAUCCCUUUAUGGGGUCGCGUCUGUAAUGGUGUGGCUCUAUGCUUCGAACCGUCUUUUUAUCGAGACAAAUCUCUGACAAUUUGACCUCAAAUCGGGUGGGACUACCCGCUGAACUUAAGCAUAUCAAUAAGCGGAGGAAAAGAAACUAACAAGGAUUCCCCUAGUAACGGCGAGUGAAGAGGGAAAAGCUCAAAUUUUGAAUCUGGUGUCUUUGACUCCCGAGUUGUAAUCUAGAGAAGUGUUUUCCGUGUCGGACCGUGCACAAGUUCCCUGGAACGGGGCGUCAUAGAGGGUGAGAAUCCCGUAUAUGGCAUGGACUGCCGAUGCUUUUGUGAUACACUCUCAACGAGUCGAGUUGUUUGGGAAUGCAGCUCAAAAUGGGUGGUAAAUUCCAUCUAAAGCUAAAUAUUGGCGAGAGACCGAUAGCGAACAAGUACCGUGAGGGAAAGAUGAAAAGCACUUUGGAAAGAGAGUGAAACAGUACGUGAAAUUGUUGAAAGGGAAGCGUUUGAAGUCAGUCGUAUCUGGCGGGAUUCAGCCGGGCUUUUGCCAGGUGUACUUCUCGUCCGAUGGGUCAGCAUCAAUUUCGACCGGGGGAAAAAGACGUGUGGAAUGUGGCUGUCUUCGGGCAGUGUUAUAGCCAUGCGUUGUAUGCCUCGGUUGGGAUUGAGGAACGCAGCGCGCCUAUAGGCCAGGGGUUCGCCUCUUGACACGCGCUUAGGAUGCUGGCAUAAUGGCUUUAAGCGACCCGUCUUGAAACACGGA
rnacentral:rRNA from 1 species